CUGCAGCCCGAGUGGUGAUCGAUUUUAUCGAGCCUAAAGCGUCCGUAGCCGGACUAGUAAACCCUUGGGUAAAUUGGGCAGCUUAACUGUCCAAAUUCCGAGGGGACUGCUAGUCUUGGGACCGGGAGAGGUCAGAGGUACUCAAGGGGUAGGGGCUAAAUCCUGUAAUCCUUUGGGGACCACCAGUGGCGAAGGCGUCUGACUAGAACGGAUCCGACGGUAAGGGACGAAACCCUGGGGCGCGAACCGGAUUAGAGACCCGAGUAGUCC
rnacentral:rRNA from 1 species